rnacentral:rRNA from 1 species
GAGGGGCCCGCGGCCGAUUAGCUAGUUGGCGGGGUGACGGCCCACCAAGGCAGAGAUCGGUAGCCGGUCUGAGAGGACGCACGGCCACACUGGGACUGAAACACGGCCCAGACUCCUACGGGAGGCAGCAGUGGGGAAUCUUGCACAAUGGGGGAAACCCUGAUGCAGCGACGCCGCGUGAGCGAUGAAGCCCUUCGGGGCGUAAAGCUCUUUCGGUGGGGAAGAUAUGGACGGUACCCGCAAAAGAAGCCCCGGCUAACUACGUGCCAGCAGCCGCGGUAAUACGUAGGGGGCCAGCGUUGUUCGGAAUUACUGGGCGUAAAGGGCGCGUAGGCGGCGCGGCCAGUUCGGUGUGCAAUCUCCCGGCUUAACCGGGAGGGGUCGCCGAGGACGACCGUGCUGGAGUGCGGGAAAGGGGAGUGGAAUUCCCGGUGUAGCGGUGAAAUGCGUAGAGAUCGGGAGG